UAAAAACAAAGAUGGCGACCUCGUGCCUUGGAAUCCACCAGGGAUGCGAUGGUCAGAC
rnacentral:tRNA from 1 species